UACGUAGGGUGCAAGCGUUAAUCGGAAUUACUGGGCGUAAAGGGCACGCAGGCGGUGCGGCGCGUUUCGCGUGACAGCGGAGGGCUUAACUCUCCGAGGAUGCGAAAGACGGCGGGACUUGAGGGCCAGAGAGGGACACGGAAUUCCGGGUGGAGUGGUGAAAUGCGUAGAGAUCCGGAGGAACACCGAAGGCGAAGGCAGUGUCCUGGCUGGUGACUGACGCUGAGGUGCGAAAGCUAGGGGAGCGAACGGG
rnacentral:rRNA from 1 species